UAAGACGAACCGUGCGAACGUUAUUCGGAUUCACUGGGCUUAAAGGGCGCGUAGGCGGGUUCUCAAGUCGGUGGUGAAAUCUUUCGGCUCAACCGGAAAAUCGCCUCCGAUACUGGGAACCUCGAGGGGGGUAGGGGCAUGUGGAACUUCCGGUGGAGCGGUGAAAUGCGUAGAUAUCGGAAGGAACGCCGGUGGCGAAAGCGACGUGCUGGACCCUUUCUGACGCUGAGGCGCGAAAGCCAGGGGAGCAAACGGGAUUAGAUACCCCGGUAGUCCUGGCCCUAAACGAUGGGUACUGGGUUGUGGACUGGACAUGGGUUCACAGCCGAAGCAAAAGUGUUAAGUACCCCGCCUGGGGAGUAUGGUCGCAAGGCUG
rnacentral:rRNA from 1 species